rnacentral:piRNA from 2 species
CGCAUUGAGAGACCUUUCUCUGCUGG